GCUGACAAUGAAUAUAGUUAAAGGGACACUAUAGUCACCAGAACAACUACAGCUUAUUGAAUUUGUUCUGGUGAGUAGAAUUAUUACCGUCAGGCUUUUUGCUGUAAACACUGUCUUUUCAGAGAAAAUGCAGUCUUUACAUUACAUCCUAGUGAUAACUUCACUGGUCACUAUUUAGAUGACUUAGAGAUCCUUCCUGGGUCAUGGCUGCC